UUUUACCCGGGAUGAUAAUGACAGUACCGGGAGAAUAAGCUCCGGCUAACUCCGUGCCAGCAGCCGCGGUAAUACGGAGGGAGCUAGCGUUGUUCGGAAUUACUGGGCGUAAAGCGCACGUAGGCGGCUAUUCAAGUCAGAGGUGAAAGCCCGGGGCUCAACCCCGGAACUGCCUUUGAAACUAGAUAGCUUGAAUCCAGGAGAGGUGAGUGGAAUUCCGAGUGUAGAGGUGAAAUUCGUAGAUAUUCGGAAGAACACCAGUGGCGAAGGCGGCUCACUGGACUGGUAUUGACGCUGAGGUGCGAAAGCGUGGGGAGCAAACAGGAUUANAUACCCUGGUAGUCCACGCCGUAAACGAUGAUAACUAGCUGUCAGGGCACAUGGUGUUUUGGUGGCGCANCUAACGCAUUAAGUUAUCCGCCUGGGGAGUACGGUCGCAAGAUUAAAACUC
rnacentral:rRNA from 1 species